CAGUAUAAGGCCUCAGUCUACACCAGCACAGAACAGGGCCAUGACUUUUGAAAUUAGAUACAUCCUCGUUCCUCCAUUCUGUCCCAUGGAUUUCAAAGAGACUUCCAGGCAGGUCUGCAUGUAUUGCAGGUAUUAGAGAUGAAGAAACUCUGUAGAGAGACAAAGACACAGGACAAGUGAGCAGCACGGCGAGCGAAUGAACCUUGAUUGCUCCUGACUUCAAAUCCUGAGAUGGUAACUAUGGUACUCCACUGCUGCUAAGACAAGCACUGGUCCAAGGAAAGUGUGCUCUGGCAGUGAGGUGGUGAUAAGCGAUAAGAGAGGGGAAAAUCAUGGCCGGGCACGGUGGCUCACGCCUAUAUUCCCAGCACUUUGGGAGGCCGAGGCGGGUGGAUCACGAGGUCAAGAGAUCAAGACCAUCCUGGUCAACAAGAUGUAGAAUGAGGCAUAAAAUGAAGAAACUUGUUCCAGAUUAUACAAAUAUUAAGCAACAGGAUAAAACAUCAGACAAUCUGGCCCCAAAGCCAGUUCUCCGAUCCUCUGUGUUACGGCUUUAAGUGCUACAACUUCUGCAAAAGUGCUCUAGAACUUUAUGAGUAAAGAAAUGAUGUAUCUAGGAGGCGGUGCAGGAUGAGCCGUGACUGCAGGUGUUCAUACAACUUUUUACCCUUUGACUCCCUGAGGAGUUUAUCUUUGCUUCUCACCCUGCGGGAGCCCUUGCCUCAGACCAGAAGAGUUAUCAUUAGAGGCAGGUGGGAGACAGCCCUUCUGUGUUGAAAAAAAUGCUCUCUAGCCAGGCCUGGUGGCUCAUGCUUAUAAUCCCUACACUUCGGGAGAAUGAGACAGGAGGAUCGUUUGAGGCCAGGGGUUUGAGACCAGACUGAGCAACAAAGAGAGACGACAUCACUACAAAAAAAUAUUUAAAAAUUAGCUGGGCAUGGUGGCACAUACCUAUAGUCCCAGCUACUCAGGAGGCUGAAGUGGGAAAUUCCUUAAGCCCAGAGUUUCAGGAUGUAGUAAACUAUGAUCAUGCCACUGUACUUCAGUCUGGGAGUCAGAGAAAGACCCUGACUCUAAAUAGAUUAAAAAGUUAAAAAAAAUUUUUAAAUGCUUCCAUGUGUUACCUGUGAUAGACUGAGUUUCUAGUACUCUUUGUCUACAUAACUUCAGGUAAUUUAUGAACCAACUAAAUUUAUUGUUUGUUACAAGUCGAUGGAAAACUCCUUUGCAUUCUAACCAAACGUUUAAAAGAUAAAGUCAGCAAUGCCUAUGUUUCUUCCAUCCUAUUACAUAACCGUAAACUAGCAGACCUUGGGCGAACCUUGCUGGGUACCUAUUGGAUUUGACUGAGAGAUGCCUCGUGAGUUAAGUUCACAUUCCUCUUACCAUGACCACCAUUUCAGAGACAGAUACCACUACUUCCUAAGGGGUCAAGAGGGAGGCUGUUCUUACCAUCCCAAAAAAGAUGAACAAUAAAUGAGAUUUUGAGAUUCUGAAUUCUCCCUCAAACUGCUACACAGAAAACACUCCUUAUUGGUAAGGUCUCACUUACGCUGACCUAUUCCAGUCUCCUUUCAUUUAGUGCGUAGGACUUUCAUUUAGUGUCCAAGACUAAAUGAGACUGCCCUACUGGGCAGGAGAAGCACAAGAACAAGAGAACAACUAAAAACCAGUCUUCUUUUAGUGCAACUCUAAUUGUUCACCUCUUUAUUUUAGGAUCUAAAAGUAUAAAUUUAUUUAAACUAUUUCCAUGACCUUUUGCUCAAGUAGUUAACAAAUGAUUAAAUUGUAAUCUAAAACCUUAUGUUUUAGUAAGAAAAUAAAAAAUGCAAUGGGCUGGGCACGGUGGCUCAUGCCUGUAAUCCCAGCACUUUGGGAGACUAAGGUGGGUGGAUCAUGAGGUCAGGAGUUCAAGACCAGCCUGGCCAACAUGGUGAAACCCCAUCUCUACUAAAAAUACAAAAAAUUAGCCAGGCGUGGUGGCAGGUGCCUGUAAUCCCAGCUACUCAGGAGGCCGAGGCAAAGAAUCGCUUGAACCCAGGAGGUGGAGGUUGCAGUGAGCUGGGACCGUGCCACUGGACUCCAGCCUGGGUGACAGAGCAAGAUUCUGUCUCAAAAAAAAAAAAAAUGCAAUGAAGGACCUUGAAACAAACAAUCAUGUAGCCAUUCCUAGUUUUUAGAAAGAAAAAACACUUUUAUUCAUACAUAUUCAUAGCCACCUAAAUUAUUGCUUUUUCAUAAAUAUAAUAGUAAGAAUGAGAAAACAUCAAAUUACUUUUCUUGAAAUUUGCAUAAGCAAAAGAAAAGAUGUACAAUGCAGUUCUACUCCUGAACAAAAAUGUCCCUCAUUAAUGGAGUAAUAGAUCAUAAUAAUGCUAAAUUUCCCCAAUGAAUAAAAAAGGCAAAAAAUAGUAUAUGUAGUCAUAUUUUUCCAUUUAUUGCUGUACAUGAUCUUCAUUUAAAGUAAUCAUACCAUUAUAAUUAUGUAAGGAUUGCACAAAUAUCACCUUAGAAUAAAUAAGAUAGCUUUAAACAUCAACAUAGGAACAGCUUGUGCAUUCCCCUUCUUUGUUUUACAUGAUCUCAUACAAAUUUUUGUGGCAUUUUUAGAUAGGUCAGAAGAGAAAUUAAUCUGGUAUUUACACCAACCUUACAUUGACUGUCUACAUAGUCUGUGUUAACAGGGUGGCAGGGUGAAUCUGUGAUGUAAAAGUCCCUGUCUGCCCCACCUGCCUUGUUCCAUGAGAAAAGAUGUACCCAACACUCUCAUCCUCAGUUCUUGGGUCCCACUGAAUGGAACUGGCUCCAGGAAAUCCUUGUGAAUUAGCUUAAAAUCUAAAUUAUUUGAAAAGGAUGGAUGUUAUUGAACCACUUCAGUUUCCCUAAUGUUAUAUGAGAACGCAAAGGUAAAAAUUGAUCAGCAGGGUCCACAGAUUGAUUUAUGCGCAGGAUUUAUUUUCCUGCUUCGACUUGAAGAGGACUUCCAAGCGGGCUGCAAGCCAGAGAACAACCAGGUGCAAGGGAAGCUCACAUCCUUUUACCUGACAGACUACUUCAUCAGUAAACACAGGAAACAAUUGUUCCUACCAAAUGUCCUUGAAUGUGAAUAAGCUGCUUCAUGGAUCAAAAUGUCCCUUUCCUUUAUCUCUCUGAAUCCCAGACUUUUAACCUUUGAAGGUGGUUUGUGAGCUUUGAAUCUAUGGUUUCCACCUAAGUCCGUGAUUAAAACACAAUACCAACAUUCCCUUCGUGAUAAACUAAAAAUCAUUCUUAAAAAAGAAAAAUUGAAGGGUUAUUCAAACAACUUACAAAUUUAUUUGCCAUUAGCACUUCUAUUGUUUUUGAUAACUGCCGUAAGUAUGGAUUUGUAGUUUUUGCUGUAGUGAGGGAGUAUAAAGUAAUGGAAAGAAAACACUUUGAAAUCUAACAUCUAUGGGUUCUGUUGUUUAGUAGCUAUCUGUAGCUAUACAAUCUUGAACAAGGUGCUUAAUCUUUCCAAUCCUUAUCUAAAUCAUCUGAAAGCAUAAAGCAACACACUGCUCCUCAUUAGACGACAAAGGUAUAUUGGCUUCAGACACUCAAGGUGGUAUUGAUCUUUAUAUAUUCACGCAUGGUCCUUUGGUUUUAUUAUGAAAAAUAUGUGCCACUGGAAUCAAGUCUAUUCAGCAGAGAUUUUUGUUUUUUAGAUGAAUACAGUGAAACUUAGAAAGCUGGUAAUGAGACUGACAAAGGACAAUUUAUCUAUCAUCAGAUUUCACAGAUUCACUGCAGUCAUGAUCUCUUCACACGCGGAUUUCACUGCUGCUUUGGAGACAAUAUGGUGCCACGGUCCUGGGAAGAGGCUUACAGUUAGACUUCCCUCCUUUCAUUUCUAGUUUUGCCCUUGCCAUUUAUUUAAUCUCUGUCAUUUUCAAAUUAUAUUUCUGCUUAAAUGAUGCUCUUCUCGCUGUAGCACCGUGAGAGAUAACAAUGGCACAUUUACAUGGACACUGUGGGGUUUAAAACUGAGAUGUGUAUGCAUUGUCUGUUUCUGUCGUUCUUCUCCUUUUCCUUUCCUGUUUUUUGAUGGCCAGGAGAAAGCUGUAUCUGUGAUGAAAGUCAGUGCAUUGAAAAAAAUCUCCCUUCUGGCUACAACUGACACAUUUGAGCAUGCUCUGGGCAGUGCCCUUACCAGAUACUCUGAGUCCUCCCAACUGAGUGGCUUUGUGCAAAGCUGCCCUGCUCACUGAUGAUUAGAACACCUAAUAAAAUCCAAAGGGCUUGAGGAAUUAGCCAGUCAUAGUAUUUGUUGGUAUACGAAUUCUGGGGGAAACUGCAGCAAUUAUCUCAAAAACCCCCAGAGAUCUAAACACUGUUCAUAGAAUAUGGUAUUUUAUAAUUUAUUGUAUCUAGAAUAUCUUAGUAGUAAUUUGGCUUCCAGAAAGUGCUCUCACAUUAGUAGGCAGCUAGAAUUAGACGCCAAAGACAAAAUAACAAAACAGGAUUUUGUGAGGGUAGAAUUUUCUCCAGCGUCCUCACUGCUAACCCAGGAGGAAUAAGCCCCUCUCUCUAUCCUGCGUAUUUCACAAAUCAACAGUACCCUGCUCGGUGUGUGCUACUUGUACUGUGCACUGAUUUUGUUUGCAUGCCUGCUACCUGCAAGCUGCUUGAGGUCAGUGCCAUAUUCACUUCUGUAUUCCCACGACCUAGCAUAUAAAAAGGUUUUACAGGCCAGGCAUGGUGACUUCCAACACUUUGGGAGGCUGAGGAAGGAGGAUCGCUUGAGGCCAGUUCAAGACCAGUUCUGGCAAUCUAACUAGACCCCAUCUCUACAAAAAAAUUUUUUUAAAUAAAUAAAUAACAUUUUACAGCAAAAUAAAUGGAUGGAUAACCAUGAAGUCUGCUAAUUUGAGAGGCAUCAUUUAGGCCAUUUUUGUUACCAUUUAGGACAUUGAUAGCUGUGUAUUUUCAAGAAGAGGCCAGGCACAGUGGCUCACAACUGUAAUCUUAGCACUUUGGAAGGCCGAGAUGGGCAGAUUGCCUGAGCUCAGGAGUUCGAGACCAGCCUGGGCAAACACAGUUAAAUCCAUCUCUACUAAAAUACAAAAAAUUAGCCAAGCAUGGUGGCUGGCAUGCGCCUGUAGUUCCAGCCACUCAGGAAGCUGAGGCAGAGAAUCCCUUGAACCCGGGACACAGAGGUUGCCGUGAGCCAAGAUGGCACCAUGCACUCCAGCCUGGGUGACAGAGUGAGACUCCAUCUCCAAAAAAAAAAAUAAAGUUAAGAAGAGAGAAAGUAUACUGUUUCAAAAAUAGUACUUAGGAGAACAAAGUUUUCUCUUUAAGAGCCUAAAAUCAUACGACAUGGGUAUUGCUGGGUUUCACUUCAUUUCUCCCUGAGUGAUCUUUGUUACCUGAAAAGUGAUCAGGAAUUAGUUUUACCUUCUCUGUCACUGGCCCUUUAUCUGCUGUUGCCUGCGUUCCUCUCCAUGCUCACAUCCAACAUGAAGACCUGCCUGUGACGGACAUCUUCCUCAAGACUCUAUGUCAAUCAUUUUACUCCUUUCUGUGGGUGAAUAUCAGAUCUUUCUGCAAGAGUAGAUUUUUUUCCCAUGGGUUCUUUCAUGUAAGAACUCAGGCAUGUUAGUUACUGGCAAAGUGAACAUAUCUCAAAACAAGUGGUUUUUUUUUUUUUUUUUUUUUUUGCUUGUUUGAGACAGACUGCUUAAAGUGAGAUUUAGUAAAGAAUAUUUUCCUUGAGUUUGAACCCAAUUCUUCAGAAGACAACAACAAUAACAUACAACUACCCUGCAUCUCCCCUGCCCCAUGCCUCAUCCUCCAUGAUCACACAGCAAAGCGUUUGAUUUUUAUCCUGUUUCAUCAAAAGUCUUGCCGUUGAUCAUGCUAGGUAUUCAUAGGAGUCAACUUUUGGUUUAAUUAUUUUAAUUCACCCUGUUAGAAAGGGAAGAUGGAGUGGGCACCGAAGCAGAGCACAUUUCAAGAAUUCACCUGGCUACAAUAAUAAUAGGCUUCUUCAAGCAGUAGGAUUUGAGCCUUUUACAGACUACCACUGUCCAUUUACUUAAAAUUAUCAUAGUCAAUCCAGACAAUACGCCUAAAAUUGCCGCUUUUACUUUUGUUUGUUCUCUUAUUAAAUUAGAUCUCUUUUGCUCCUACCCUACUCUGGAGCCCUGAUAUUUCAAUUACUUCAAUCAUUAUUUUGUAGAGAAAUAGAAACUACUCAUCAAAAGCUGGACAUAACUUCUUUGUUACUCUCACUCACUACUUUUAUAAGGGCACAGAUGACACUCUCCUUCAAGAGCUGUUUGACUUUUAUGAAAAUGAUCAAUCCAUAUUCAAGUUGCUACAUUAGUAUUUUAAAAACAUGUAAUUGUCUACUCUCACAUUAGAGUUAAUUAACUAUUCAAGCAAACAGCUCCCAAAACUUCACUGUGUUAGACACAAGGUUUAUUUCUAGUUCGCAUACAACUGAAUAUGAGCAAGCAAGAUCUAAAAGGCAGAAAAAGCAAAGAUAUUUUAGACUACAAUAUAUCUGACCAGGAAAGAAAGCUUGAUUGUCUUCUAUUAGACAUUUGAUUAAUAGUUAUUUACACACCCUUUGUUUUGCAAAUAGCAAAACAAUAAAAACUUACUAUACUUUACUGAACAAUAAAAACUUACUAACAUUUUAUAAAUAUUAGAUCGAGAUGAAAAUUAUAUGUAUCCUUACUGAAAUUUAUUCCACCUUCUAUUUUAUUAUCAGAAUAGAAUUAAUUGGAAGCUAGUGUUCCUCUUACAGACAAAUACAGCAUUUAUUUUUCAUGCUUCUUUCUUAGAGACAUAACUUAUAAUUUGAAACUGAACAUUUGGUCUGUGCAAACCAUAUUUGUAGAAACAUUUCAAUGGUCAAAAUGAAAUUUUCCACUGUAAGAGGCUGAGGCAGGAAGAUCACUUAAGCCCAGGAAUUUGACAACAGCCUAGAAAUGUAGUGAGACCCUAUCUCUACAAAAAAAUUAAGAAUAGCUCAGUGUGAUGGUGUGUGCCUAUAUUCCCAGCUACUACAGAGGCUGAAAUGGGAGGAUUGCUUCAGCCCAGGAGGUCCAUUCUGCAGUGAGCCAUGAUCACGCUGCCGUACUUCAGAGAGGAUGACAGAGCAAGACCUCGUCUCUAAUGAAGUGAAUACAUAAAUAAUUUUUGUACUUAGGACUGGAGUAAAUCAAAAUCUUACACAUCUAUUCUCUCAAAUUUAAGAUGAAAAUGUGUCUUAUAUGAAAGGCUAUUUAGUAUAGUCAUUGAGUUUUUCGUGGCAAUGUGUCAGCUGACAAUUUUUCCACUCAAAUGGUAACAGUAAGGGGAGGUGAUAUUGGCAGAAGAAAUAUACUAUUACAAAUGUGCUCAUAGAAUAAAAUACAGUUGUGAAAAUGUGGAUGGAGAAGCAGUGACUACCUAUUACUGACCUUUAUACUCAAAGCAGAAAACACUAUAUUGAUAUAUAUUUGGACUGGGCUUCAUUUUCUAUUUCACAGGAUUCCGUGACUGGGUUUAAGCUUACCAUGCUAUUUGUUUUCUGUUUGUCUCACUGAUCUUUUUUCUUAUUUAGUCUUCCUUUCCUGACUUCUUGUAGAUUAAACAAAUAGUUUAUAGUAUUCAAUUUUUUUCUUCUUGGAGGUUUUUUAGCUAUCUCUCUGUUUCUUUUUACAUUUUUGAUGGUUCUUUAGUGACUAAAGUAUGCCUCCUUAGUUUAUUAUAAUCCACUGUAAAAACUUUACCACAGGCCGUGGGCGGUGGCUCUCACCUGUAAUCUCAGCACUUUGGGAGGCCAAGGUAGGCAGAGGUAGGCAGAUCACUUGAGGUCAGGAGUUUGAAACCAGCCUGGCCAACAUGGUAAACCCCAUCUCUACUAAAAGUAGAAAAAUUAGACAGGCAUGGUGGUAGGUGCCUAUAAUCCCAGCUACUCAGGAGGCUGAGGCAGGAGAAUUGCUUAAACCUGGGAAACAGAAGAUUAGCCAAGAUGGCACCUCUGCACUCCAGCCUGGGUGACAGCUAGACUCUGUCUCAAAAAACAACAACAAAAAAACACUUUACCACAGUAUAAUUUUCUUUACUCCUUUUUUAGUCCUAUUUCAUAUUUAAUUUCUAUAUCUAGCAUAAACCUUAUUUAUUAUUGUUAUUUUUGCUUCAGUCAAUAAUAGUCUUUUACAAAAGCGCACACACACACACACACACACACACACACUUUACAUUUAUCAACAUAUUUGCUACUCUGGUGCUCUUCAUUUCUCACUGAAGAUACGGACUUCUAUCAUCAUUUACCUUUAACCUGAAGAGUUUUCUUUAGUAUUAUGGGCCUUCUGUAACAAAUUUUCUCAGCUUGUGUUUUAUUUGUAGUUUCAAAGAAUAAUUUUGCUGGAUCUAGAAAUCAGAGUUGAUAGUUACUUUCUUUAGCACAUUAAAUGGCACCCUAUUGUGUUUUUUGGUUCCCAUUGUUUUUUAUGAGAAUUAAGAAGUCAGCUUUUAUGUUUAACAUUUUUUCACUUGAAUUUAGCAAUGAGACUUUAUUCUCUGACUGCUUUUGACAUUUUCUGUUAACUUUUAAAAUUUUUGUGUUUCAACAGGUUGACUGAUAUGCCUAGAUAGGGUUUUCACUGUAUUUGUCCUACUUUAAGUUCACUGGACCUUUGGGAUCUGCAGAUUGAUACUAGUAUUAACUUUGUUAAAAAAAAAAAAAAAAAGGCAAUCAUUGCCUCUUGUCUAUUUCUUUUGUUCCAUUCUUUAUCUCUUCUCCUAGGAUUCCAGUGUAUAUUAUCUAUAGGAUUCUAUAUGUAUUAUCUCAUGGGUCUCUGUUCUAUUUAUGAUUUUUCCUCUCUUGACUCAGUUUAGAUAAUUUCAAUUCACUAAUCCUUUCUUUUACUGUGUAAUAUCCUCCUAUAGAAGGUUGCAUAAGCUAUUUAAU